rnacentral:rRNA from 1 species
UCAAGUUAUUAAGGGUGCAGGGCGGAUGCCUUGGCACUAGGAGCCGAUGAAGGACGUGAUAAGCUGCGAUAAGCUUCGGGGAGUUGGCACGUAAACUUUGAUCCGAAGAUUUCCGAAUGAGGAAACUCACUUAGAGUAAUGUCUAAGUAUCAUUAAGUGAAUACAUAGCUUAAUGAGGGGAACUCAGGGAACUGAAACAUCUAAGUACCUGAAGGAAGAGAAAGAAAUUCGAUUCCGUAAGUAGCGGCGAGCGAACGCGGAUUAGCCCAAACCAAUAAAGUUUUCUUUAUUGGGGUUGCGGACAUAUCAUAACGAAGAGGUAUCGUAAUUGAAGAGGUUUGGAAAGACCCACCACAGAAGGUAAUAGUCCUGUAUGUUAAACGAGAAGACUUCAGAUAUGAUCCAGAGUACCACGGGACACGUGAAACCCUGUGGGAAGCAGGAGGGACCACCCUCCAAGGCUAAAUACUACCUAGUGACCGAUAGCGUAUAGUACCGUGAGGGAAAGGUGAAAAGAACCCCGGGAGGGGAGUGAAAUAGAACCUGAAACCCUGCACUUACAAGCUGUGGAAGCACAUUUCUUGUGUGACCGCGUACUUUUUGUAGAACGGGCCAACGAGUUACGUUAAGUAGCAAGGUUAAGCACUUAAGGUGUGGAGCCGUAGCGAAAGCGAGUUUUAACUGAGCGUUCAGUUACUUGACGUAGACCCGAAACCGGGCGACCUACCCAUGAGCAGGAUGAAGCGAAAGUAAAAAUUUCGUGGAGGUCCGAACCCACGAGCGUUGAAAAGCUCGGGGAUGACUUGUGGGUAGCGGUGAAAUUCCAAUCGAGCCCGGAGAUAGCUGGUUCUCCCCGAAAUAGCUUUAGGGCUAGCCUCAAGGUGAGAGAUACGGAGGUAGAGCACUGAAUGUCCUAGGGGGUAUUGCACCUACCGAAGACUAUCAAACUCCGAAUGCCGUCAUCUUAUACUUGGGAGUCAGACUGUGGGUGAUAAGAUUCAUAGUCGAAAGGGCAACAGCCCAGAUCGUCAGCUAAGGUCCCUAAAUGUAAGUUAAGUGGUAAAGGAUGUGGGAUUGCACAGACAACCAGGAUGUUGGCUUAGAAGCAGCCACUCAUUCAAAGAGUGCGUAAUAGCUCACUGGUCGAGUGAUCCUGCGCCGAAGAUUUCCGGGGCUAAAACUUACUACCGAAGCUACGGCAUCAGUAAUGAUGGGUAGGGGAGCUUCCCAUACGGGUUGAAGCAUGACCGUAAGGACAUGUGGACAGUAUGGGAGUGAGAAUGUUGGCAUGAGUAGCGAGAUGUGGGGAGAAUCCCACAGGCCGUAAACCCAAGGUUUCCAGGGGAAGGUUCGUCCGCCCUGGGUUAGUCGGGACCUAAGCUGAGGCCGAAAGGCGUAGGUGAUGGACAACAGGUUGAUAUUCCUGUACUACCGAUAACCGUUUGAGAGAAGGGAUGACACAGUAGGAUAAGCUAGCACACUGUUGGUUAUGUGUGCCCAAGCAUUGAGGCAGUCAAAGUAGGCAAAUCCGCUUUGAUAAUGCUGGGAUGUGAUGGGGAGCGAAAUUUAGUAGCGAAGUAGCUGAUUUCACACUGUCAAGAAAAGUCUCUAUCGAGGUUAAAGGUACCCGUACCGCAAACCGACACAGGUGGGUGAGGAGAGUAUCCUAAGGCCAGCGAGAGAACUGUUGUUAAGGAACUCGGCAAAAUGACCCCGUAACUUAGGGAUAAGGGGUGCCACCAUCAGGUGGCCGCAGAGAAUAGGCCCAAGCGACUGUUUACCAAAAACAUAGGUUUCUGCUAAGUCGCAAGACGAUGUAUAGGAGCUGACGCCUGCCCGGUGCUGGAAGGUUAAGGGGAUCUGUUAGAGCAAUCGAAGCAGUGAACUUAAGCCCCAGUAAACGGCGGCCGUAACUAUAACGGUCCUAAGGUAGCGAAAUUCCUUGUCGGGUAAGUUCCGACCCGCACGAAAGGCGUAACGAUUUGGGCACUGUCUCAACAACAGACUCGGUGAAAUUGUAAUUCCGGUGAAGAUGCCGGAUACCUGCGACAGGACGGAAAGACCCCAUGGAGCUUUACUGUAGCUUGACAUUGGGUCUUGGGUACUACAUGUACAGGAUAGGUGGGAGGCUUUGAAACCAGGACGCCAGUUUUGGCGGAGCCAUCCUUGGGAUACCACCCUUGUAGUACUGGGACUCUAACCAUAGGCCAUGAAUCUGGUCUUGGGACACUGUCAGGUGGGCAGUUUGACUGGGGCGGUCGCCUCCCAAAAGGUAACGGAGGCGCUCAAAGGUUCUCUCAGUACGGUCGGAAAUCGUACGUAGAGUGUAAAGGCAAAAGAGAGCUUGAUUGCAAGACAUACAGGUCGAGCAAGGAUGAAAAUCGGACUUAGUGAUCCGGUGGUUCUGCGUGGAAGGGCCAUCGCUCAACGGAUAAAAGCUACCCUGGGGAUAACAGGCUUAUCUCCCCCAAGAGUCCACAUCGACGGGGAGGUUUGGCACCUCGAUGUCGGCUCAUCACAUCCUGGGGCUGUAGUAGGUCCCAAGGGUUGGGCUGUUCGCCCAUUAAAGUGGUACGCGAGCUGGGUUCAGAACGUCGUGAGACAGUUCGGUCCCUAUCCGUCGCAGGCGUAGGAAAUUUGAGAAGACCUGUCCUUAGUACGAGAGGACCGGGAUGGACGUACCUCUGGUGUACCAGUUGUUCUGCCAAGGGCAUGGCUGGGUAGCUAUGUACGGAAUGGAUAAGCGCUGAAAGCAUCUAAGCGCGAAGCCAACUUCAAGAUAAGAUUUCCCACCGCAAGGGUAAGACCCCAGAAAGACUAUCUGGUUGAUAGGUCGAAGGUGUAAGUGCAGCAAUGUAUUUAGCUUAUCGAUACUAAUAGGUCGAGGACUUGACCAA